rnacentral:rRNA from 1 species
AACGAACGCUGGCGGCAGGCCUAACACAUGCAAGUCGAGCGCACCCUUCGGGGCGAGCGGCGGACGGGUUAGUAACGCGUGGGAACGUACCUUUCUCUAAGGAAUAGCCUCUGGAAACGGAGAGUAAUACCUUAUACGCCCUUAGGGGGAAAGAUUUAUCGGAGAGAGAUCGGCCCGCGUUAGAUUAGAUAGUUGGUGGGGUAAUGGCCUACCAAGUCUACGAUCUAUAGCUGGUUUUAGAGGAUGAUCAGCAACACUGGGACUGAGACACGGCCCAG